GCUGCAACAUAGCUCAACUGGUAGAGCAUGGGACUCCUAAUCUCUGGAUCAUGGGUUCGAGCCCCACAUGGGGCA